AAGAAUUUCCUUACUUGGAGUUGCCUUAAUGCUUAAUUACAGUGAAAAGGCAAAGGAAAUGGGAGGGAAAAGUAAGAAAAGAAUGAGAAACGUGAAAAUGGGAAAGUGAAAAUGAAAGGAACAGAUAGACUCUAGAAAAAGUGAUUUUGUGUGUAAAAGUUCUACAUGGUACCUCACUUAUAAGAAGGUUGUAGCUUCAUACCCAAGCUAUAUAUAGUGAUGCCAAUAAGUCCUAAACUUUUCAUGCAACUAAGUCCACUUAUCAUCCAUUCUACCCCAACCAGGUUUGGUUCAACCCAGCUCAACUCAAGAGGAUGUUACA
rnacentral:lncRNA from 1 species